CCCAGAGCAGGGAUCCACUAAGCUCACUUUGAGAAAGCCCUCUUUCUUGGGAUAGCAUCAUGCAAUGACACAGUUUUUGCAAGCUUCCAAAACUUCAUGAUCUCUGAGAAGAUGAUGAACAGAACACAGCAAAACCCGAACAAGCAUCUACCUUAUUUCUUGGAGUACUAAGUCUACUAUGUUUUUAGCUUCCAAAAUUCAAGAAGAUGCGUCUGUGCCAUAGCAAGAGCACCUAUCUAAAUAUCAAAGCCCAGUUUUGCUGAAUUCAAAAUAUACACAUUAUGUUGUCUGAAAAGACUGAAAGAGAUCUGCAAAGACCAUGAAAUUCAGAAUGGUGCUGGAAAGCAUCUGAUAAAUAGGUAAACUCUAAGUCCAGCUCACCUCCAAGCACUGCAUCUUUGAAGAACAUUUUCUGAAGUAAUAACUUGUUUUUCUCACCUAAAUAGAUAUGAAUUGUUGACACUGAAGAAAAAGAAGUGUCAAAUAAGAAGCUACUGCUUUUUACAGCUGCUUUUUUUUUAGUGCAAACUAUUAACUUUUGGUUUUCCAUCUACAUUUGCUGGAUACAUCCCUGGAAAAACACACACUCAUAUUGGUGACUAUAAAAAAGGUGAUACGAGGUUCUUCUAAAACUUUACAGUCUUUCAGAAAAAAAAACUUUCAUCCAGAGAGGAUGUGAAUUACUUCAUAACACAGCACUUCAACAUAGCGGUGUGUAUUUCCAGUUGUAUCUACCUAUUACCAAAUAUAUUUAAUAUUACUACCUGCCUAUAUGGGACCAAUAGUGUUGCACUACUUUUCAGUGUAAAUGUUUAAAUUCCAAUGAUCUUGCGAGACAUUAAACAACUGGUAUAGCAAAAAA